rnacentral:misc_RNA from 1 species
GUCGUGGUCCAACAACCCAGAAGCACGGAGAAAGGGAAGUGCACAGAAGAGACUAUUCUAGUACACUGUACCUACCAGAAGCCCUGCCUACGUGCCGAGCUUAUUUCUUAGUGUGCAGAAAUCCACCUACUGCAAACAGUUGGUACUCGCACGAAGAACAGUUAUGUAGGCGACUGUCUUCAACCACUGGAGCGUUGUCACGAUGACAACACCUGCUUCUGGCAAAGGCAUUCCUGACCUGGCCUCAACCUCAACUAGAAAAGUCUUGCAAGAACAAGAUGUAAUAGGCGCAAUGAACGUUGACAUCAAGGUAGAGCGGAGCAGCCCUCCAACUUUACCACCUCCAUGGUUGAUAUGUGUAGGCAUCAAGGAAGAGCCAGUUAUCCCUCCAACCACGGAAUCUCUGGACGUCAAUGUUGACAUUAAAGUCGAACAGAGUAGCCCUCCAACUACGCCACUUCCCGACAUGAGUGUCGACGUCAAGGUAGAGCCGAGGAGCCCUACAGCUACACCACCUCCAGGUCCAAUAGACAUGGAUAGACAAGGACCAGCUGAACCUCAAGACCUAGUGCCAGCGGUUGUCCCUCCAACAACGUCAACAUACAGCACUGAAACUACUGGAGAUGCAGCUGUUAUUGAUAGUGACAAAAGACCAUUGGGAGGUGCUGAAGAAUCAUCACAGAAAAUGUCCAAAAGGAGUGUCUGCAACAAGUACAAAAGUAACAUGCCUGGGCAUUGCACCUCGAGCAAAGAAUGUACGACAAAGCAUCAGACUGUUCACAUGGAGGAGAAUUGCUAUGCCUGUGCAGUCUGCGGAAAGGACUUUGCUCAUAAAAUGGGCCUUAUCCAACAUCAGCGUCUCCACGCAGGCGAGAAGCCCUUCGCUUGCACUGUCUGUGGCCAGAAGUUUACACAGAAAGCUCGUCUCACUAGGCAUGGAGCAGUGCACAUGGAUGAAAAGCCAUACCUCUGCACAGACUGUGGUCACAGGUUCGCUCACAAAAGCAGUCUAAUAAAACAUCAAGUCACCCACAAGGAAAAAAAUCCCUACCCUUGUCUCGUCUGCAGCAAGCAGUUCACCCAGCUGUCAAGUCUCACUAGGCACAUGGUUGUUCACACUGAUAAGGAAUUGCACUGCUGCUCGGAAUGUGGUCGCAGGUUUGCUUACAAGAGUGAUCUCCUUGCACACGAAAUAAUCCACAAGGAAAAGAAGCCCUAUGUGUGCCUCAUCUGUGGCCGGCAGUUUGCACGGCGAUUCACUUUCAGUCUGCACAAGGCUGUCCAUGCAGAUCAGAAACCACACUCUUGCUCAGUCUGUGGUCACGGGUUUGUUUACAAAAGUAGCCUUGCAAAGCACAUGUUCGUUCACAAGGAAGAGAAACCAUACGCUUGUCUCGUCUGCAACCGACAGUUCACCGAGAAGUCAAGUCUCACUAGGCACAUGGUUGUUCACAAGAAAAAGAAACCAUCAUACACUUGUCUCACCUGCAACAAGCAGUUCAACCAACAGUCAAGACUCACUAGGCACAUGGUUCUUCACACGGAUAAGGAAUUGUACUGCUGCUCAGAUUGUGGUCGCAGGUUUGCUUACAAGAGUGAACUCCUAGCACAUGAAAUAAUCCACAAGGAGAAGCCCUACACUUGCUCCAUCUGUGGCCGGCAGUUUGCUCGGCUAGUAAAUUUCAAUUUGCACAAGGCUAUCCAUGCAGAUAAAGAACCGUACUCCUGCUCAGUCUGUGGUCGCAGGUUUACAUACAGGAGUAGUCUAAGGAUGCACGAGUUCAUUCACAAGGAAGAGAAACCAUACGCUUGCCUUGUUUGCGGUUUGAAGUUUGUCCACAAUGCAAGUUUCAUUCGGCACAAGAGUAAGCAUACGGGUUUGGUGGAAUAUGCAUGUAGUGUGUGCCCAUCCAAAUUCUUCGCGAAGGCAUCACUGGACAGACACAAGAAGCUGCAUGCAGCUGGAGUGCAGUUGUUCCACUGCACAGAGUGUAGCUGGGCUUUUCUUGAAAAAACAGCACUGGAGAAGCACUUGAAGGGGCAUAAGACGGACAAGCCAUACCUGUGCCACCUUUGUCCAUCAAGAUUCACUAAGAGAUGUAAUCUCAAAGCUCAUGUGAAAAGACACACUGGUAAAAAGCUGUACGAGUGUCCCAUUUGCCAGAGACAACAUUCUAGGCCUUCAUACCUCAAGGAGCACAUGCGCCGAAUGCACCCUGGAGAAAACGUAUUGGUGAGCCCUCAGACCAGCCAGCCUCCAAUCGGUCCAACGCAGUCAUGGCAGCCGACAUAGCUGUGCCGCCGUCGCUGGUUUAGUGAGAUCGGACAAACGUAGAAGGCCGAAGCAAAGGGGCGGGGGCUGCUGUGUCCAGAACAUGCUGAUACAGCUGAAGAAGGAGCGGCUGAGGCAGCACCUAGCAGUAGCAGCAGUGAAACUUAAAGCGACACCACGGAU